rnacentral:rRNA from 1 species
AACGAACGCUGGCGGCAGGCCUAACACAUGCAAGUCGAACGCCGUAGCAAUACGGAGUGGCAGACGGGUGAGUAACGCGUGGGAACAUACCCCCUCGGUUCGGAAUAAACUCAGGGAAACGUUAGAGCUAAUACCGGAUACGUCCGAGGUAAUCGGCCUUGGAGAAAGAUUUAUCGCCGGAGGAUUGGCCCGCGUCUGAUUAGCUAGUUGGUGAGGUAAUGGCUCACCAAGGCGACGACAGUAGCUGGUCUGAGAGGAUGAUCAGCC